GGCUCUGAUUAGCAAAUGUUACCUGCAGAAGGCAGAGGACAUACCAGAAAUGGAGAUAAGAUGCUAUUAGCAGGACCUGAAGGCAGUUCACAUUAAAGACCUUUUCCACUGGGUGCUGGAGGAAAAGCACAAGAUGAGAGAAGCAAAUUGCUUCAACUCAACUUACUCCUUUCCUGCCGUUUCCACUGCUAACCAGAACCUAUAUAAAACCUUAUAUUCUAACUUAAAGAUGAAAUUAGCAGUAAAACUACUGCUCCCAACUUCCUGCAAUGUUUGACUAAAAGCAAAAACACAAACCACAAAAGUCUUAUUUGAACCACCUGGCCUA
rnacentral:lncRNA from 1 species